rfam:Schistosoma haematobium scaffold893_13, whole genome shotgun sequence.
GACCCAAAAGACAGUGAACUAUGCCUGUUAAUGUUGAGGCCACAGGGAACUCUGGUGGAAGUCUUUGAUAAUUUCCACGUGCAAGUCGAUCUUAUAAUGUGAGUUUUGAGGCGAAAAAGUAAUCGAACCGUCUAGUAGCUGG